rnacentral:rRNA from 1 species
UACGGAGGGGGGCUAGCGUUGUUCGGAAUUACUGGGCGUAAAGCGCACGUAGGCGGCUUUGUAAGUUAGAGGUGAAAGCCCGGGGCUCAACUCCGGAAUUGCCUUUAAGACUGCAUCGCUAGAAUUGUGGAGAGGUAAGUGGAAUUCCGAGUGUAGAGGUGAAAUUCGUAGAUAUUCGGAAGAACACCAGUGGCGAAGGCGGCCAACUGGACGAAUACUGACGCUGAGACUCGAAAGCGUGGGGAGCAAACAGG